rnacentral:rRNA from 1 species
AACCGACACAGGUAGGCGAGCAGAGCAUGCUAAGGCGCGCGGAAGAACUCUCGUUAAGGAACUCGGCAAAAUGACCCCGUAACUUCGGGAGAAGGGGUGCCUCGGUAGGGUGAAUAGCCCGAGGGGGCCGCAGUGAAAAGGCCCAAGCGACUGUUUAGCAAAAACACAGGUCUGUGCGAAGCCGUAAGGCGAAGUAUACGGGCUGACGCCUGCCCGGUGCUGGAAGGUUAAGGGGAGCGGUUAGGAGCAAUCCGAAGCUGUGAACCGAAGCCCCAGUAAACGGCGGCCGUAACUAUAACGGUCCUAAG